UACGGGGGGGGCAAGCGUUGUUCGGAAUUACUGGGCGUAAAGGGCUUGUAGGUGGCCAACUAAGUCAGACGUGAAAUCCCUCGGCUUAACCGGGGAACUGCGUCUGAUACUGGAUGGCUUGAGUGUGGGAGAGGGAUGCGGAAUUCCAGGUGUAGCGGUGAAAUGCGUAGAUAUCUGGAGGAACACCGGUGGCGAAGGCGCACAUCUGGCCCGAUACUGACGCUGAGGCGCGAAAGCUAGGGGAGCAAACGGG
rnacentral:rRNA from 1 species